UACAGGGGGUGCAAACGUUGCUCGGAAUCAUUGGGCGUAAAGCGCACGUAGGCGGUUUGUUAAGUCAGGGGUGAAAUCCCGGAGCUCAACUCCGGAACUGCCUUUGAUACUGGCAAGCUAGAGUCCGGAAGAGGUAAGUGGAACUCCUAGUGUAGAGGUGGAAUUCGUAGAUAUUAGGAAGAACACCAGUGGCGAAGGCGGCUUACUGGUCCGGAACUGACGCUGAGGUGCGAAAGCGUGGGGAGCAAACAGG
rnacentral:rRNA from 1 species